GAAGACUUAUAUUGACAAUUGAAUGCAAAAUUUUACCUCAAGAAGAUAUUUAGAUUAGGAGUUACAGCUUAUUAAAGCUCAUUGAUUAGGAUUGGAACUUAUAAGAAAUAUCUAAAUUACUUAAAUAUGAAAGUAACAAUAUAAUUAAGGUUUAUUUGUAAUUGAGGCUUCUAAAAAGAGUAUUUUUUAGGACUUUUGAAUUGAAAUUCGGAUUAUAUUCUUCUCAUAUGGAUGAAACUUAGUAGGAUUUCUUGGAUAUUUGUGAAAAUGUAACCUUACCUUCUAUAGUUAGGU
rnacentral:lncRNA from 1 species